UGUUUCACAACAUGAUUCAUGAAUGGUGUCAAGAUACUUGAUCAUUUUCGCAUAGACAGGGACAAAUGUCAAGACAAAUGUCAAGAGUAUUUCAAACAUUUCAUUACUGAUGGCCUUGCUUUACAAAAAAACGAACAGAUUGCAGUGGCAGCAGAUGGCCAUCAGGGAGAGAUGGUGGUUGUUCUGUCUUUGAGGAUUGGCAGCUGUAGGAUUCUCUAUCUACAGGGUAUGAAACACAAAUAUAACAACAUCACUUUAUAUGGUUUAAUUUGUACUCAUUUGCUGUCUGAGCUCAGAACAACCUUCUAAAUGCACCUGAAGCCACACAAACAUCAGUAAAAUCACAUGGAUGUGGUAAACCAGCAUUUGCUAUUCAGUCAUUUCAUGAGGAAAGUCCAGCAGUUACACAUACUGUAAUCACGGAGAGCGAGAAAAAGAAUGUGUCACAAAAUAAAUAAGCAUACACAUCAAA